rnacentral:rRNA from 1 species
CCCUUAGACGUUCUGGGCCGCACGCGCGCUACACUGACCAGUGCAACAAGCAUCCGUCCUUGGCCGACAGGCCCGGGCAAUCUUUGAACGCUGGUCGUGAUGGGGAUAGACUUUUGCAAUUUUUGGUCUUCAACGAGGAAUUCCUAGUAAACGCAAGUCAUCAACUUGCAUUGAUUACGUCCCUGCCCUCUGUACACACCGCCCGUCGCACCUACCGAUUGAAUGGUCCGGUGAAGCCUCCGGAUUGGCGCGCACCUCGGUGCCGCCGAGAAGUUGGCUAAACCUUACCAUUUAGAGGAAGGUGAAGUCGUAACA